CUCCUUCAUCCCCAGCAGCUUACAAUCCUUCCUGACUGGAAGAGAGGCUUGCUCCCCUUCCACUCAUUCUGCUUAAAAAAAAAAAAAAAAAAUUAAAGAAAAAAUUUGGUAUUUUCACAAUACAAAAGAACAAAGUCAUCAAGAACAGUCAUCAUUCACUAUGUCAAGUAAUUAGCUACAGAAAAUAGAAGGGAAAUUCUGAGGAGGACAUACAGUAUAAUAAUACAAUUUGAAAAUCCACAAAGUUACUUUUCAGAAUGUGUCAACAGACUGAGAGAAAGUGCUGAAGAACAGAAGAGGCAUUGAGAAUACUUCUCAGGUGAAGAUUCAUUAUGACCUUUAACAUAUUUUCAAAUCUUUGAGAAAUAAUGAGUUCCUUGAAAGUUGCCUUAUCUGGGGCACUUUCCAGUUCCCUGGAACUGUGCAAAGGAUCACAACAUAGAAGCUUCUAUGCAUUCAAAUAUACCCUAGCACUGGGUAUGUGAUAUUACUAGCAUCCUAUCCCUAGGGGCCAAUGAACACAUAAAGCUUCCCCCAUUGUGCCAGAUAUUGUGUCAGAUAGUCUGUGACUACAGACUAUCAUGAAUAAAUAACAGACCCUUCUGCAUCUGCUCAGCAGGUAAUCCAGUUGUCUGGAAUUAUCAUAGCAUCUGUGCAGCUUACUCCUGCUUGAAGUGUGUGGAAUGCUGACCACAGCCAGGCUACAGCAGGAGGAUCCUUUGGAACAAAGAUUCUCAGUGUUGGGUCCCCAGAUGUUAUUGGACUUCAACUCCCAUAAUCCCCAACCAAAGGCUGCUGGAGCUGGGGAUUAUGGGAGAUGAAGUCCAAAAAUACCUGGGGACCGAACACUGAGAACCCCUGCUUUGGAAGAGCUGUUGUGGAUGCUGGAGGAAUCUCAUGCUGAAUGAGAGGAAUGGAGUUUUACCAAGCUAAAACACAGGGAUUGUGUAGGAGCAGGAACAUUGGCUGCACAGGCAUACUGGUUGAAGGACUCAGGAGGCCCCCAUACCACUGAUCUUCCCAGGUUCAUCCUGCUUCUUGGGAUAUAGCCUUAUGAACUGUGUACCCCUGGAGUGGGUUGCAGAACUCUCCGCCCAGGCUAGCAUGGCACAGCUACAUACCUUCAGUUCUUCACUUGUUCAUAAAUGGGCUAGAAUGGAAGCAAUCUAUUCUGUUUCAAGAGCUCAAAGUUUAAGUGCAAGGAAGUACUGAAGUUACUGGUGUUGCAUACACAAGGGACUGAAAAGAGAGAAGUGAUGUACACAAUAAGAAGAAAAACACAAGAGAAAAAUAAAAGCUAUAAGGACAAGUAUGCUGCAGAGUGGACUGAUUGUGUUCAGAAGAAUUCUGUUGCAGACAUGCUGUCCAUUAAUAAAUUAGUCAUAUCCUGUUCAUAUAGUAGAACUAGAUACUCAUUUCCAUUAUCAUUAUCUACUGUAUAUUCUAUAUGGUGUCAUAAAUGUUCAGUAUCCUGUGUUAGAGAUCAGAGAGAGAUGGCAUUCUCUAAUUAGAUUACAAAGAUUAUGUUUGUACAGAGACAUAAGGUUUUUGAAACAGAUCUUUAUAGUUCUUAAUAGUUUAAUUUUAUGAAAAGGUUAAGGCUUAGAAGUUGGCACCACUCAGUAGGAUUUACUUCUUAGUAAACAUAUAUAGGAUUAUACUACAAGGAUUGUUACUCACAGACAGAAAAGAAAGAAAACCAGAAAGUAAAUAAGGCAGUUUGUGAAGUGGGCAUGGAAUAAUUAAAAUACCAUGACAAAUUCAUGUGCUGGCUUGUGAAGAACCCAUGUCAGUAUAAUGGAGAAAAUACAAAAAAGAAGUGGACCAUGGAAGACAAGCAGGAACAUAGAAGGCCGAAGGAGCCCUCUCUCUCACAUUAUCCAAGUACAUUUUUCAUUGUCUUGUUUCCUUCUAAAUGUCUUAUGCAGCUCCAUGUGUUAACAUUCUCCAUUUUAACUCAAAAUGCAAUGUAGCAUGAUCCAUAAAGAACCUCAGACUCUGGGACAGUGUGUGUCAUCCAAUGUGGCUCACAGGGAAAGAGUUCUCAGCAAUAGGACAAAGUGAAUGCCUUAAUUUGUUUAUAUAUGUAUUAUUAUUAUUAUUAUUAUAUUUCUAUGCCUCUUUACAUCCAAAGCCCUCAAAUUGGCUUAGUUAGAAAUAUAUAAAAUACAAAAUCCACCACAAUAACUACCAUGGAUCAUAUGUAUAUGGAACUUAAAGUUUAACCACCAUAGAUCAGCAAUUUUCUAAGUAUGCAUUGCGACCCAAUACUGGGUUGUGGGAUAUUAGGUAUUGGGUCCUUUACUGAUUAAAAAUGUUAAUGUUACUUUCUAAAUGUUGUGGAUGAUAUUUUAAGAGAUUGAAAAUGAUCUUAAAAUCAUUUUAAAAUCUUAAAAUAUCAUCCACAACAUUUUAAAAGUAACAUUACAGUCAUUCAGAUAUAGCACUUGCAGCUUGUUUCCAGUAAGAUUGCCGAAAUUAACCUUAUGCGCUACGUGCACAAUGUAGCAGUUCUGAAUACAACCAAUCAACUAGAUGUUAUUUCCUGAAGAUAUUUCCUGUUAUUUCAUUAUCUGCUGUGAUGCUUUUAACAACUUUUUUGCAGAUACAAUCUCUCACAUUCAAGCCGACUUGGAUCCCAUGGUUAUGGCAGGGUCAACUGCAGAGGUGUCCAGUAUCUCCUCUGGUUCAAUUAGAACGGAUCAGUUUCAAUUUGUGACUUCUGAGGAUGUGGACAAACUCCUUGGAGGUAUUCGGCCUACCCCUUGUCCUUUGGAUCCAUGCCCAAAGUGGCUUACAACAUCUAGUAGAGAGGUUGUUAGAGAUGGCCUAGCUGACAUCAUAAAUGCCUGAAUGAGGGAGGGCAGGAUGCCUCCAUGUUUGAAGGAGGCAAUUGUGAUACCUAUGCUUAAGAAGCCUGCCCUAGAGCCCUCAGUGAUGGAGUGUUUCUGCACCCAGGCCUCACUCUGAUUUCUCAGGUUGAAGCUAUGGCCAGGAGCACUUUCCAUCAACUUCAGUUGAUACGACUGCUGUGUCCAUGUCAACUGUCAGAAUUGUGAUGCACUCUCUGGUAACCUUUAGGCUUGCCUACUGCAAUGCACUCUAUGUGGGGCUGCCUUUGCAUGUAGUUUGGAAACUUGGUUGGUUCAAAAUGCAGUGGCUAGACUGGUCUCCAGGGUGUCUCAGAAAGACCAUAUUACGUCUGUUUUAAAGCAAUUGCAUUGGCUGCCAAUAGGUUUCCAGGCAAAAUACAAAGUGCUGGUAAUUACCUUUAAAGCCCUAAACAGUUACCUGGGACAGCACUUCCUUCUGCAUAAUCCCCACCACACAUUAAGAUCAUCGGGAGAGGUCCAUCUACAUAUACCUGGUGGUGACUCUGGAGCAGGCCUUCUCUGUAGUUGCUCCUAGGCUGUGGAAUGCGCACCCUAUAGACAUUCGUGGUUUAACAUCUUUACCAGCCUUCAAAAGAGCCCUCAAGACACAUUUGUUUUAGCCAGACUUUUAGUAAUUUAUGAGUUUUAAAUUUUUAAUUUCUGUUUACAUUUUUAAUUGCUGUAAUUUCUGAAUAUUUUAAAAAAAUUAAUUGCUGUUUAAAUUUUUUUAAUUGUAAUUUCUGAAUGUGUUUAAUUUUUUAAUUCUUGUUUUAAUAACUGGUCAUGUUUGUCUUUUGUUUUUGAGAACUGCCCUGGAGCCUCUGGAGUCAAGCAGUAUAUAAGAUGAAUGAAUGAAUGAAUGAAUGAAGCAACAGUUGAAAGGAAAAAUCCCCUGCUAACUGGGCAAAGAGGCACCUUUUACUGUGGUGAUUCUCUUUAUUUAGCAGGGGGAGAGUAACUGGCCCUAUCCACCCCCAGAACAGUACCUCCAGUGACUGUUGCUAGUGUCUAUCUCGUGUGUUUUUUUAGAAUGUGAGCCCUUUGGGGACAGGGAGCCAUCUUAUUUAUUUAUUAUUUCUCUGUGUAAACCGCCCUGAGCCAUUUUUGGAAGGGCGGUAUAGAAAUUGAAUUUUUUUUAUUAUUUUUUAUUAUUUCUUGUUUACACAGUCAGACAGGUGUUAUUGACUGGUUUGUUUUAUCCAGACGUCGAGUCCUUCCCAAGGACCUGGGAUGGCUGAAUUUUAUCAUCAAUACUGUUGGUUUCAUCAGUACUGUUGGUUUCAUCAAUACUGUUGGUUUCAUCAAUACUGUUGUUGUUGUUAUUAUUAUUAUUAUUAAAAUGUUAGUCAACAUCUUGCUUAAUAAAGAUAUCAGCAUC